rnacentral:rRNA from 1 species
CCUGGCGCGUGCUAUACAUGCAAGUCGAGCGGAUCAAAGGGAGCUUGCUCCCUGAGAUCAGCGGCGGACGGGUGAGUAACACGUGGGUAACCUGCCUGUAAGACUGGGAUAACUCCGGGAAACCGGGGCUAAUACCGGAUAACUCAGUUCCUCGCAUGAGGAACUGUUGAAAGGUGGCUUUUGCUUCCCCUUUACGAAGGGACCCGCGGGGCUUUACUUAGUGGGGGAGGUACCGGUUCACCAGGGCAACAAGGCGUACCCAACCUGAAAGGGGGAUCGGCCACCCGGGAACGGAAACCCGGCCCAAAUUCCUACGGAAGGCAGCAGUAGGAAAUCUUCCGCAUGGAACAAAAGUCUGACGAACCACCCCCCCGGGAGGGAAAAAGGUUUUCGAAUCGAAAAAUUCGGUGGUUAGGAAAAAACAAUGGCCGUUCAAUUAGGGGGCGGCCUUGCCGGACCCUACCCAAAAGGCCACGGUUAAUUACUUGCCACCACCCGCGGAAUUACUUAGUGGGCAAGCGUUGUCGGGAUUUAUUGGCCGUAACGCGCGCGCAGUUGGUUCUAAUUCUGAUGUAAAGCCCAGGUUCACCUUGAAGGGCCUUGAAACUGGGGAACUUGAUGCGGAGAGAAAGUGGAUUCCAGUGUAGCGUGAAAUGCUAAAAUUUGGAGGAACACCAGUGCGAAGCCACUUUCUGGUCUGUACUGACACUGAAGCCGAAGCGUGGGAGCCACAGGAUAGAACCUUGUAAGUCAAGGCGUAACGAUGAUGCUCGUAAGAUUCGCAUAUGCUGCAGCUACGCAUAGACUCGCUGCAGUACGUCCAGACUGAACCGAGAUGACGGUCGCAUCGUGACAUGGAUAUCGAGCACGCGAUCUACAGCUGCUCUCUGACACUAGAUGCUGCUCGGCAGUAUUGUCAUUGCGUCAGUCGUUCUGAGUGUAGUCGACGGCACUGACUAUGCAGCAUCAUGUACUUGAAGCUCGGUC